rnacentral:rRNA from 1 species
GAUGAACGCUGGCGGCGUGCUUAACACAUGCAAGUCGAACGGUGAAGCAGAGCUUGCUCUGUGGAUCAGUGGCGAACGGGUGAGUAACACGUGAGCAAUCUGCCCCUGACUCUGGGAUAAGCGCUGGAAACGGCGUCUAAUACCGGAUACGAGCUGCGACCGCAUGGUCAGUAGCUGGAAAGAAUUUCGGUCAGGGAUGAGCUCGCGGCCUAUCAGCUUGUUGGUGAGGUAAUGGCUCACCAAGGCGUCGACGGGUAGCCGGCCUGAGAGGGUGACCGGCCACACUGGGACUGAGACACGGCCCAGACUCCUACGGGAGGCAGCAGUGGGGAAUAUUGCACAAUGGGCGCAAGCCUGAUGCAGCAACGCCGCGUGAGGGAUGACGGCCUUCGGGUUGUAAACCUCUUUUAGCAGGGAAGAAGCGAAAGUGACGGUACCUGCAGAAAAAGCGCCGGCUAACUACGUGCCAGCAGCCGCGGUAAUACGUAGGGCGCAAGCGUUAUCCGGAAUUAUUGGGCGUAAAGAGCUCGUAGGCGGUCUGUCGCGUCUGCUGUGAAAACCCGAGGCUCAACCUCGGGCCUGCAGUGGGUACGGGCAGACUAGAGUGCGGUAGGGGAGAUUGGAAUUCCUGGUGUAGCGGUGGAAUGCGCAGAUAUCAGGAGGAACACCGAUGGCGAAGGCAGAUCUCUGGGCCGUAACUGACGCUGAGGAGCGAAAGGGUGGGGAGCAAACAGGCUUAGAUACCCUGGUAGUCCACCCCGUAAACGUUGGGAACUAGUUGUGGGGUCCAUUCCACGGAUUCCGUGACGCAGCUAACGCAUUAAGUUCCCCGCCUGGGGA